GUCAACUACCCACGACUAAAGUAUGUGGGCUUGUAGUUGGCAAAUACACCACGUUAAGCUAGUUGACAGCGUCUCUACGGAUGUUUUCCGCAGCGAGUUUAUCG
rnacentral:ncRNA from 1 species